GCGGAAGUGGUGAAAUUGGUAGACACGCUGGAUUUAGGUUCCAGUGCCGCAAGGCGUGAGAGUUCGAGUCUCUCUUUCCGCACCA
rnacentral:tRNA from 6 species